rnacentral:misc_RNA from 1 species
ACGUGGAUGCGACAGCGACGCGCUGCGCAUACCCAGAAGCGCUGUAUCCGUGCGCGUCGGUAUCCCGGCGCGUGUGCGCUGUGCGGUGUGCAGCCUUUGCGCCCACGCCCACGCACGUCCGCCUACCGAAGAGGAGCACAGGUGAACGAGAAGGCGGCAAGCGGGUGAAACGAUCGAAAGUGUGCGGUGCCACUCGCGCGUGCGUGUGGGUGUAGGCGCGACGGCGAGCAAUGCAGCGCCGCGAACCACCCGUGCGUGCCGCAUGUCCUUCCAGCCCAUCUGUGUUCUGUGCCUCGGUGACUGCAACAGGGACGGCAGCGUCACAUCGUGCAACCACUACCUCUGCUCGCGUUGCGUCUCCCGCCUACCAGCCGCUGCGCCCUGUCCGCUAUGUCAGCAGCCAUACCAGCUCGUUAAGCUUGACCACCCCAAUGUGCAGCAGCUGCUGCAAGACGGUGCAACGGUACUUGGGAGAGCGGAAAAAGUGAUCAUCUCUCAAGUGCGGCACUACCAGCAAGUCAUCCGUCGCAUGCGCCAGGCGCUGGCGAUGCUGCAUGGCCAAAACCAGGACAUGGCACGGCAGAGUCAGCGGAAGCAGGCAGAGUGCGCCGCGGCAGUGUCGCAAGUGCAAGCGCUUCAGGAGGAGGUGUGCCGGCUGCGCGAGGAGCUGGCACACGCCACCGCUGCGGCCACCCGUGCAUACUCGCAAAGAAAGACGUCACAACAGCAGUCGCAGCCCCCGCCACCACAGCAACAACGCGCGCACAUGCUGGCGGACCCGCGAGCUACCCAUGCCAGCGACGGGUACCCGCACGGCGCACCGAGGACCGUCGAGGUUUGCCAUACGCCGGCGGGGCAGAUCAUCCCACCCCCAUUGACGGGGCGCCAUGCCCCCUUCCUACCUGCCGGCGUGGUCGGUGCUAGGGCAUCAGACACCUCUCCACGUGGCAGCUGGCCGCGCCCGUCUGUGGCAUCGUCACCUUCGCCGUCCUCUCACUCGCAUGGGCAGCACCGACGACACCAGUCGCACGGAAACGGUGGCGAGUCACGCGGCGCUGCCGCUAGUGAGACGUCGACGUCGUCCGCCGUCGGAGCAGCGCCGCCCCUCGGGUGGUCAGCAAGCUCCCUCAUCGCGAAACGCCACCGCUCUGACUCAAACCCGUCGCUGCCGCGGAGACGCGUGGAUGAUAUCCGUGCGUCAUUGCCACAGCCGGCCGCUAGCGUGGGCGCCGGUGCCAAGGUCGCGCUCACACCUCGCACCCACGCCACGGUGCCUCCGCAACAGCGGCCGCCGCACCAGAGUUCCCAUGCCUUUGCACGUCAGCCAGGGAGCGGUGGCGGCGACUCCCCUGGGCCGAGCAUCGACUUCUGGCUCACAACGCCGCUGGCCGCCGCAGCGCAGCAGCAGUCGCGCCGCCCUGACUCUUUCAUGCCAUCUGGCACCUCGUACGUGUCCAGGCCGUCAUCGAAGCCGCUCCAACGACUCUUUUCGUCACCACGCGACGGCCCUAGAUCCUUCUAGCCAUCUCCCUUGCUCGGCCUCCUCCCUUUUCGCCUCCGCUCAGCAGCGUGCGCUGCACGGCAAAGCGUGUCUCACGCGUCGUGGAGAGGGGCAUCCCCCUCUGCUCUGCUCUCCCACUCCUCGUGUGCGCGGCGAGUGUUGGCGAGCCACGACUGUGUACAUGAAACACUUUCUUGAUGCUUGAGCUCCCACGGACACCUCCGCCUCUCUCGCGUGGCUCUUCUUCGCACGUUUCUAGUCGUUCAUGCAUCUGCUACCGCUACGACGCACAAAGCCAGCAAACACCGAUACAGGCAUAGACGCAUGCAUAUGUCUGUCUGUUUGGUGUCUUCCUUUCCCCUCUCUCUGCUGCUGCUGCCACUCCGCUGCUCAAGGUACUCUCCCGCCCUCUUGAUACAUCGACCUGCUCGUCUCCUCGCACACUUCCUGCAUCGGCGCACAUACACUCGG